rnacentral:lncRNA from 1 species
GUUGGCGGGGGGGGGGUCAGCCUAGGCGGCCGGGGGCUGUUGCCCGGUCGACGGCCGGCCGACUGCAGUGGCUGCCGGCGACUGCUGCAGCGACGGGCGUCGAAGGAAAACCGAGUGAUCUCGGUUUGGGGCCAAAGCAACGGAAGGAAAUCAAGCAUGUUCAGACUAGAUCAAAGAGCAAAAAGGAAAAGGGAUUACCGGCAGUCGACGAAGAGGCAGAUCCUGGCCACGGCUGCUCGAUCCGGUGGACAAGCGGCGGCGGUAGCAGUGCUCGAAACCAAGAGGAUGGAUCUCGGAACAGGGGCAGGCCACGAGAGGAAUCCGGAUGGCGCUCGGUCGGAAAGAUACGCCGGUCACUCGGGAGGUAAGAACAGAGGAAGGAGAGGGAGGAGAGGGAAGAAAGGGAGGAGAGGAAGAGGAUUCAGAGGUGGUCCUAGGAAAAAAUGAGGGUUUUUAUCACCCCCUUGUAA